UACGUAGGGGGCAAGCGUUGUCCGGAUUCAUUGGGCGUAAAGAGCGUGUAGGCGGCCAGGUAGGUCGGUUGUGAAAACUGGAGGCUCAACCUUCAGAGGUCGACCGAAACCAUCUGGCUAGAGUCCGGGAGAGGAGAGUGGAAUUCCUGGUGUAGCGGUGAAAUGCGUAGAUAUCUGGAGGAACACCGGUGGCGAAGGCGGCAUUCUGGACCGAUAUUGACGCUGAGGAGCGAAAGCGUGGGGAGCGAACAGG
rnacentral:rRNA from 1 species